CGUUUUUUGUUCCUUCAUUUUAUCUCUAUAUCUUAUAUAAAUAUAAUUCUCAAGUUUUGUAUUUUAUCACAAUACACAUAAAAUAAGUCUGCUGUAGUAUACAGAUUGUGUCAUCACUACUUACGUCACAAAUACCGUAUAAUCGAAAAAAAAAUCGCCAUCGCUGACGCCGUUUUUUUUCGAUCAUAUAGUAUACCGGGUGUUGCAUCGUCGGACGGGACAACCCUAGUUUAAGCAUCCGUUUAUUGUUGUAGAUUGUAGAUUGUAUGGGAGAAACCUCCUAAACAUUUUACAUUCUACGAUGUCAUGUAUCGAAAUUACCAUAUACAAACUAAAAUAUUAUGGGAAACUGAAAUUGAGAUCUUUGAAAGGACCUUUUUACCGCAACCAGUUAUACACAAAUUUAUUAGUUUUGUGACGAACCACCGGUCGCGCUUAAGGCGAAAAUAUUUAAGCAGUUCAAAUCAAAUCAAGUCAGUUCUAAUCAAAUAAUAUGUACCGUCAAAAAUCGAAAAAAGUUUUAGUGGAAUUUUAGUGAUUAUUUAAACUUUUUAUUAAAAACAAUGAUGGAAUCAGGCCGUAAACCCUUUCAUAAUUAUGUUGUUCCGAUGCCGGAUUUGUUUUCCAAAAGACAUACAUUCUCGAAGAACGAUCCUACAUUAUUUCAAAAGUGAUAUCAAGUGCGAAACCUUAAAAUGGAAAAUACAACACAGCAAGAUAUUUAAAAGAUUUAUAGAGUUUGUGAUUUACAUUUUUGUAAUCAAGAUCGUACCUGGAAUAAAAAGAGGUUUAGAAGUUAAUUCUAAAGUUUUUGUAUACACCAGUUCAUAUGGGUAAGUAUAUGCAUUUAGUUAAAUAAAGAACGUUUUCAGAUAUUUUGAUCUAAUAAAAUUAAAAUAAUCUUUUAGAUGAUCAACCUACUGGUAAUUUGGUGUCCAGUGAUGUCGAUCCAGGUACAAACCCUGUAUUUAAAGACAAACAUUUGUUGUACAACUUGUUGAUGGACCACUCUCUCGUUGGUAUUAGACACGUACUGAGAUAAAAGCAGUAACUGAAAAGGAGAAAGGAUCAGAUAACCCAAAUCAGGAAUCUUCCAGAGUGCAGAUGAUGCAGUUUUUGUGAGUGAGGUAUAAUAUCUGUCUCUUGUAAGACCUCUUUUAAGAAUUUAACCCAGGCAGUUGUUUACAACCAAGUUAGAUCUCAAGCAUAACAAAGGAAUCGUAGAACCUGUGAAUUCAGUUUAAUUACUGAGAUCAAGGAUGAUGAAACAUUCAUUAUGAUUAUACAGAGCUACAAAGAGUUAUGUUGAGAAUCCAAAUUAUCAUAAUGAAUUGAGACGAGACAACACCUGGGUGGAAAUUGACGAAAAAUGUAGAUAAAAGGCAUUUUUAUAUUAACGCUAUGAAUCCAAUGUUUUUAUCAAAUCGUCACAUAGAUAAUAUUUCUCUACGCAUAAUACUAAAAUUAAAAAGGUCAGGUUAAAACAACUUUAAUUAUCCAUCGCGUGCGAAAAACAGUGCUUCGCAUGGCUUCGGCUUCGGCGCGCUUCGCUCAAGUGCUCAUCAUGCUUUAAACUUUUGCGAAGCGCCAAAAUGUCAUUGGAUUAAUUGCAUGUAUUUUGAUUCUUCGCGUUACUUCGCUUGGUCUGCAUUUUUAUACAUAGAUACCAUUGAUCCAAUUCACAUUUUUUCGCCGCGCUUCGAAUAAGUUCGCGACAAAACUUUGUUAGUUGUAUUUUAUAUUAUUUAAUGCUAUUGUAUUGAUUUAUAAUUAUUAUUGUAUUUAUAUGAACAAGUUAAGUAUAGCAAUGCCGUGCGAGCCUUCGUCUGAAGAAGAAAUUUAAUUUAUUGUAUAAUUUGUAUUAUUUACUUUUUUUAAUAAAGCUAUUA